rnacentral:rRNA from 1 species
AGUGAACGCUGGCGGUAGGCCUAACACAUGCAAGUCGAACGGCAGCACAGUAAGAGCUUGCUCUUACGGGUGGCGAGUGGCGGACGGGUGAGGAAUACAUCGGAAUCUACUUUUUCGUGGGGGAUAACGUAGGGAAACUUACGCUAAUACCGCAUACGACCUACGGGUGAAAGCAGGGGAUCUUCGGACCUUGCGCGAUUGAAUGAGCCGAUGUCGGAUUAGCUAGUUGGCGGGGUAAAGGCCCACCAAGGCGACGAUCCGUAGCUGGUCUGAGAGGAUGAUAAGCCACACUGGAACUGAGACACGGUCAAGACGCCUAAGGGAGGCAGCAGUGGGGAAUAUUGGACAAUGGGCGCAAGCAUGAUCCAGCCAUACCGCGUGGGUGAAGAAGGCCUUCGGGUUGUAAAGCCCUUUUGUUGGGAAAGAAAAGCAGCAGGUUAAUACCCAGCUGUUCUGACGGUACCCAAAGAAUAAGCACCGGCUAACUUCGUG